AAUAUUUUAGUUUAUAUAAAACAGUGAUUUGUGGUAUCACAAAAACUUUUAUUAUUU
rnacentral:tRNA from 1 species